rnacentral:rRNA from 1 species
CCUACGGGAGACAGCAGUGAGGAAUAUUGGUCAAUGGGCGCGAGCCUGAACCAGCCAAGUCGCGUGCAGGAUGACUGCCCUACGGGUUGUAAACUUCUUUUAUACUGGACUAAAGUGCGGCACGUGUGCCUUUUUGUAUGUACUUUAUGAAUAAGGAUCGGCUAACUCCGUGCCAGCAGCCGCGGUAAUACGGAGGAUCCGAGCGUUAUCCGGAUUUAUUGGGUUUAAAGGGAGCGUAGAUGGUUGGUUAAGUCAGUUGUGAAAGUUUGGGGCUCAACCGUAAAAUUGCAAUUGAUACUGGCAGUCGUGAGUACAGUUGAGGUAGGCGGAAUACGUGGUGUAGCGGUGAAAUGCUUAGAGAUCACGAAGAACGCCGAUUGCGAAGGCAGCUUACUAAACUGCCACUGACAUUGAGGCUCGAAAGUGUGGGUAUCAAACAGGAUUAGAUACCCGGGUAGUC